rnacentral:rRNA from 1 species
UGGGGAAUUUUGGACAAUGGGCGAAAGCCUGAUCCAGCAAUGCCGCGUGUGUGAAGAAGGCCUUCGGGUUGUAAAGCACUUUUGUCCGGAAAGAAAUCCUUGGCUCUAAUACAGUCGGGGGAUGACGGUACCGGAAGAAUAAGCACCGGCUAACUACGUGCCAGCAGCCGCAGUAAUACGUAGGGUGCAAGCGUUAAUCGGAAUUACUGGGCGUAAAGCGUGCGCAGGCGGUUUGCUAAGACCGAUGUGAAAUCCCCGGGCUCAACCUGGGAACUGCAUUGGUGACUGGCAGGCUAGAGUAUGGCAGAGGGGGGUAGAAUUCCACGUGUAGCAGUGAAAUGCGUAGAGAUGUGGAGGAAUACCGAUGGCGAAGGCAGCCCCCUGGGCCAAUACUGACGCUCAUGCACGAAAGCGUGGGGAGCAAAACAGGAUUAGAUACCCUGGUAGUCCACGCCCUAAACGAUGUCAACUAGUUGUUGGGGAUUCAUUUCCUUAGUAACGUAGCUAACGCGUGAAGUUGACCGCCUGGGGAGUACGGUCGCAAGAUUAAAACUCAAAUGAAUUGACGGGGUCAUAGCUGUUUCCU